UACGUAGGGUGCGAGCGUUGUCCGGAAUUAUUGGGCGUAAAGAGCGUGUAGGCGGUUAGGUAGGUCCGUUGUGAAAACUCGAGGCUCAACCUCGAGACGCCGAUGGAAACCAUCUGGCUAGAGUCCGGAAGAGGAGAGUGGAAUUCCUGGUGUAGCGGUGAAAUGCGCAGAUAUCAGGAAGAACACCCGUGGCUAAGGCGGCUCUCUAGUACGUGACUGACGCUGAGACGCGAAAGCGUGGGGAGCGAACAGG
rnacentral:rRNA from 1 species